GAUCUAGCUCAGGACGAACGCUGGCGGCGUGCCUAACACAUGCAAGUCGAACGGAGAAUUUUAUUUCGGUAGAAUUCUUAGUGGCGAACGGGUGAGUAACGCGUAGGCAACCUGCCCUUUAGACGGGGACAACAUUCCGAAAGGAGUGCUAAUACCGGAUGUGAUCAUCUUGCCGCAUGGCAGGAUGAAGAAAGAUGGCCUCUACAAGUAAGCUAUCGCUAAAGGAUGGGCCUGCGU
rnacentral:rRNA from 1 species